CCAGCUGUUUGUGAUGAAAUGUGCAUGCCAAUACAGCAUGAGACAGCCAACCAGAUGAUACGGACACUGUUUCAAGGUGCUCAACAACUCAAGUUUAAAGACCAGAACUAGAAAAGUAACUGGGCUAAGAAAACAGCCAAUAUUUUGGCACUUUGCCUUCAAGGUCUACAAACAACCCAGGACAUGGUAGAACAGUUUCUACAAGAUCCUAUAACUUUGGUAAGUCACCCAACCUCCUAAAUAAGAAGUUUAUUG
rnacentral:lncRNA from 1 species